GCCCCUUCUAGAAGCAUGCACUCCAGGCACCUAAAUAAUUCAUUACACAGCAUUACUGCCUGCUUGACUAAUAGCACUGUGGGUGAUGCUUUUUUUUAGCACCUGCUUUCUUUUGUUACUUUGCAAAGCUGAGCAACAGAAGACUCUGGAACAUCUUCAGAGACUGAAUUCUGCAUCCCAGGGCUGUGUCAAUAUUUGGCUUAUGUCCUCUGGGGGAGAACUCCCAAGGUAAGCAUUUAUGUUUCAAACACAGCGCAAAAACAGGUGAAAAGGUCUUUCGUGUUGCUCAGAUGGAAUGCUAAUAAAAUUCCUGUGAAUUAGCUUUUUUCACUUUUUUUCCUCUACUACUGGCAGGCUAAGUGAUGCUCAUUGAACAGCCCAGCUCUGGUGAGGAUCACCCAUUCUAUUGUUGCGCUGCUUUCUUUGUGUUUGCCCUAAAACCAGGCAUAACAGCUGCAGAGACAUGCAAUCAGAUGAGAAAUUUCCCUUUUCACGAGGAAACCAGCUUAUGGUGUUUACUGUCUGUGCAUGCUUCUAUGAGAAACCCUAUGGCAGCACCUGGCCAGCUCAACUUGUUCCUCCACUACCCACUGGCUUAUUUAUGCUAUUCACCAGCAAAGAGCUAUAAAGCUCUCAGUCAAUUGCCACAUUUCUGAGAGCCGAAGGAUUGGACUCAGAAGCAAAACACGUCCCACGGUGUUGAGAGCUUUAGGAUUUCAGAUCCCUCUGCUUUUGACUGUUUUCAUGGAGCGUUUUCUCAAAAUGCUGCUUUGCUGCCAUCAUAAUCAUUCGGGUUAUUUUCUUUAAAAUCAGCAGGUGGGAGGAGGAGGGGGAGUUCUAUCAUCUCCUUGGACAAGUUUCAAAAUGUAACUUGCAGGAGCAGACGGUACGAGACAACUUAUGCCUCUUGUAAGACGUUGCUGAGGCCCAGGGGAGCCUGUGCAAGCUGGGAUGAUUAGCAGUGCGUGCUUAUAGGAGGGAUGCUUGAGACCUCUUCAGUCUGAAAGGGUGGUGAAGUGUAAGACAAAAGUACCUUGCUGAGCCUUUGCCAGCACCAGUGAAGAAGUGCUACCCAUCACAGAAUCACAAAAUCAUCCAGGUUGGACACUUAGCUGGGCCGUAUUGUCAGUCGGUGUGAAAUAUUUUGGAGGCAGAUUCUCAACAAGCUUUAGCUGUCUUUCAUGCACACUCACCUUCAAUGGCUGGGAUGCAUUCCACUGCUACCAUUUAUAUCUAACUUCAAGUUGAAUAAACACCCAAGUGUAUCAUAGAAUCGUGGGAUCAUAGAAUAUUUUGGGUUGGAAAAGGUCUUCAAGAUCAUCAAGUCCAAUCAUCAGCCUGACUUACCGAGUCCCAUCUCUAAGCCAUGCCUCUUAGCGCCACGUCCACACAACUCUUAAAUACCUUCAGGGGUAGGAACUCCACCACUGCCCUGCACAGCCUGUUCAAUGCUUGACCACAGUCUCCAUGAAGAAAUUAUUCUUAUUUUUCAGCCUAAACCUCCCAUAAAGCAAUUUGAGACCAUUUCUUCGAGUCCUAUUACUUGUAACCGGAGAAAAGAAACCAACACCCCUCCUCAUACCCUUCUUUUGGCCGAUCCUCUUGAGGGACGGCCUGGAAAGCGGGUCCCACUUUGUUGCAGAACCUCAUUUGCUGCUCUGUUUUCCCAGAACAUAGAAACAGCUACCUAAGGUUGAAAAUCUGCCAAGGGGUCAUCUUGAGGGCACUGUUCUCUCUUCUGUUGCGACUUCUUACUGGGAAGUGAGUGGAGUUUGAGUUAUAUGGGUAAAAAAUAAACAUAAAAUGUAUUUCUGAGCUGCACUGCCAUUUGAGAAGCAGGAAUGUGGGCAGGAGUGCUGAGGAUGAAAGGCUCUGUCACACAUUUACAUUGUCUGUGCCCAUUGAAAGAGCUUAACUUGUUCUUAUUUAUUCAUCUCUGUGUUUCCUUUCAACAGACACAAAAACAGAACAGAAAAUAGCUCCGGAGACUGCAUCUUCCUGUGAGCACAUCUUUUAUUAAAUUUCCUUCUCUUUCUCUCCUUCUUUGUAGUGGAAUUAUUAUGACUCCAUUAGAGCAGUGAUUUCCACCUCCAGCCAUGACUCGACAGCUUUAGUAAUAGGUAACAAUUCUGCUAAUCUUUAAAAGCAGCAGGACCUUUGCUCAAGAUAACGUGCAUCCAAUCUACCCUCCCUGUUUCCAGGCCUGCAGCCAUUCCGUGCUGCUGCGGCUCCACCAGCAGCAGUGGCAGUAGCCUGAAGUCUGAAAGUGUCCUUUGAUGGUGGAAGCAGAAGCAGCAUUCACUUUGUCGUGUUCUUUUUUUUCUUUUUCUUUUUCUUUUUUUUGCUGUUUGAAGGAUUCCACACAGUACGAGCACAGCUGGGUUCUCUACAAGGGAGAAGGGGAUUUUAGAAACACAUCGAGGCUGAGUUGAGAGGGCAUUAGCACUGUUGUACCGGACUGGUUUACUGACUGCUCUGGCCAAUGCUGGCAGCUAACCCAGCUAAAAGGGUUGUGAGGAACCUGUGCUGCUGUGUGCCCUGCUCCUGUCAGCCAGACCUGCAUCCUCGGCCGUUCUCCAGCCACUUUAUUUCCUCCUGACUGCACGCUGGCACUGGAAACUUGGAGAAAUCACAGAAAUGUAGGAGUUUUUUUUUUUCUCAAACUGCCAACUGGUUCUUUUUAUCUCACUGGAAAUCAUGCAAGACAAAGAUCUCAGACUGAUGAAUAACUGUAUGAUUUGUUCGCAUGUGGGUGACGUCGGGAACAGCGUGAAUCAAACAGUUUUCUAAAUGAUUUAGAUGCGUACAUCCAGGCUGGGGCUGAGGAACCAGAGAAUUCCUCUCAUAACCAAUCUGCAAGAACAAAACUUGCACGUUCAGUUUGCUUUCUUUCCAGUUCCUGGGGCCGUGGUGCAGGCACAGCUCUUGUUAGUGAAAGCCCGAAGUGCUCAGCAGCUCCAUGGCCCCAUUUCUGCAAAGCAGAAGCAGCUGCUAAACACUGAGCUCGGUGGGAGACAUGCAAAUGUGCUCCCUUGCUUUGAUAGAUUGAAGUCACAGGAAGGCUUCUAAAAUCUCCUUUGCUCUCGGGAAGUCAAUAGCAGAGCUCCUAUUGAUUUCAAUGAGAAGAAAACCCUUCAGAGGGAAAGUAAAUGACUACGGUUCACCUCUACAGAGAUCAGCGCUCUCACAGGUUUGAAACGUGAGAUGCUGAGCAUCUCUAGCAUCGCAGUGAGCUCUGUGUGACACCACACCGUGGUGUGCUUUAUCACCAACACAGACCUUCCUCCUGCCUGUCUUCAUCUGCCCCCAGGAGCAGAGCGGAGGAGUCACAUCUCCUCCAGGUCACCUUGGGUUUCCAUAGUGACUCUUUGAAUACAACUGUCUUAUCAAUCAGAGCCUCUGUAACUUUCAGAAGCAACUAUAGAAUCUCCUCUAGUUUCUAUAGCAACCAUCUUUAGACCCAUAUAUUUGCUUUCUCUUGUCUUAGCUGAAUUGUUGGAAAUAGAGCGAAUUAACCGCUGGUGCAAUAUUUCUUAUAUUCUUUUCCCUUAAGCUAUCCUAUACUGUCAGCCAGAACAACACUUCUGAUGAGGCCAUAGUCCUUUUGUUUUACUUACUAAGGGGUCCUCUUUGCCGCCUAGGCAGAAGAAUACCACGUCUUUUAAACCACCAUUUUCACAAGGAAUGUGAAAACUUGAAACCUGGAGAGCGUUUCCCUUCCAGUUCCAGCCCCCAUGUCGUUCUGUUCCCGUGCACUCAGAAGAACAAGUCGUGCUGCUUUGUUAUCCUAAAUCGCUUCUCGUGAGGAUAUGCCAGAGCAGGAAGCUCAGUGCAAAGUACAGCCAUCGCUUAACUGCAAUGCUGCGACUUAGUCAAAUAUUAUUAUCUAUAGGGGAUGAGGAGCGUGCACAAGGUUAAUGGCCCAUCUACGCUGCGGACCCAAUAGAUGUCAAAAAGGUUAUUUUUUUUUCCAGCCUAAAUGUGGUAACUGCAGACAGAGCUGCUAUCGCACUGUCUAUGGUUUCAUCCAGCAGACAGCAGGCAGACAUAAAGCUAUCUGAAAUAGCUGACGCUGUCACAAAGACAUCUACCACCUUCCUUCACUAUCCGACUGCUAAACGCAUUGCUUUUCAGUCUCAGAAACUUUAUUUUCCCUGGGAAGAUCCUAAGUGGAGAACGUGCUUAACUCAAGGCUCUACAGUUAGUAAUGGAUAAUCACUCUGCUCGCAAUCUCUGGUGCAGGAUUUCUGGAAUGCUCUCCAUGCAGCACAUCGCAGGCACACCUGUAACUUGUACACCUUCCAGCCUACCUAAAAACAUAGAGAGGCUCUCCAAAGGAGGAAAGGACCUGAACUGCUGCGGUGCUGGUUUCACAAGCUGCCUGGACAACUGCCUGCUGCGGUUGUCCCUAUCUGAACAGGGCUUGGGCCGUGGCAUGCUGUGCAGUUUCCCACCACGCGUGCAGGCUGGCCUCUCACAGCACGUACUCUCACCUGUGCCGUGGGUGGGAGCAGCUCACAAGCAUCUGUAAGCAGGAACGGGGCUGUGCUAGGGUGGCACUUCUAGCAUCCCGCUGGAACAUCAUUUAUUCUCUCCUGUUGGUUUUUGAUGCCCUCUUCUCUGCCAGAUAUUUAGCUGCACGUCCCAGCCAUCUUCCAGGCAGCUGCUGCCAAGAACACAGUCUUCUUGUUUGUACUGCUUCCUUUCCCAUUGAAUUGUGCCUGUCCAGGGCCCGCCCUGGGCUUUCCCUGGGGUGAAUGGCUCCAGUAGCAAUGGAACUGGAGGUGGGGCUCCAGCACAGUCCUGCAGGGCAGGGGCAGGUCCUGCAGAUGAAGUGCUGGUUGUUCACUCCCAUGACUCCCACGAGCGUCUGGGCUGACCUAAGCAGCCAUGCACCCCCCCGGAUGCUAAACAUCCAGAUCCACAUUCAUCCAAUAGAACUUUAAGUACAAAAGCCCACUCAAACUCAUCCUCUGGCCCUCACUGUAACACUGCUGAGAUAUCUGAGAUCUCAGUGAUGGUGACUUUUCCAUGCUAUUCCACAGGAAGAAAAAAAAGCAGAAAGAUGGGGACAGAAAGUUUGAGCUUCUUUCCAGGCUCCACAUUUUUUUGUGUCUUAUUUUUCUUUUUAAAGGUGGGAUUUUGAAAUAGGAGAGCAACGACUGAAGCUCACCAAUGCCCCUGGAGAGGUAACAAUCAGCUGUUUGACUUCUGAUAGCAGUGGAAGCAGGUGCAAUUCUUACUGCAUCUGUUACACCUCUGCAGGCGCUACUGCUGAAGCAUGCAGCAAAAAGCUCAGUCUUUCAGGCUGGUGACAGGAGGCUGAGAUGGACACAGAGUCACAACAACAGGGAUGCUUUAGAGGCAGGUAAGCAGUUUGCCAACUUCUGGAAGGAAGAGUGGAAAGCAUCUAAAUUAUACGAUAUUGGGUCUUCCCCAGCACUGCAUGAGCCUUGUCCCAGAGCCAGAUGCACCCGGUGGGAGUUCACACUGCAGGGAGACAUGCUUUUCUGUAGGAUGGUCCUCCCCUGAGACACCCCUGAAGGAUUAGUCAGACUCGCAUGCCUCAGGAGUAAAUGGGUACUGCAAAUACUGGAAGAAGAACAAAAAUAAAGCUGAGCAGAGCUGCAGCACAGGCCCAGGGAGCUGCCUGCAUGGCUGAGUGGGCCCAGGCUGUCCAUGAGGAGCCCUGCCUGGUGGGAAGGGAGCAGCUGGGAAGGGUCUGCCUGCAGCGUUCCUCAUGUUCAUCCCCUGCUCACCUGCAGAGCCCAGGGCUGUAGGGAGGUCCCUGCCCCUCGCUGCAACACCAGGGACAACCUGCCCUGCCUCUCACAAGGACAAGAGAAAAGGACAAGAGAAAAUGCCUGCAGCUGUCUUGCUCAUGGUGGGGUCCUGCAACAAUCCCAAGUAGCUACAUCACAGACAACACACCCAUGCUGUUUGUACAGCAGCAUCUCACAGAGCUCAGAGCCUGCUGCACUGAGUACAGACACAAGUGAUGCAUUGGAACAGGCUGCCCAGGGAGGUGGUGGGGUCAGCAUUCCUGGAGGUGCUCAGGGAAAGGGCAGAGGUGGUACUGAAUGAUGUGGUCUGGAAUGGGCACAGGCAUAGGUUAACAGCAAGACUGAAGGGUCGCAUAGAACUGUUGAGGCCGGACUAAUCAAUCAAUAAGUACAUGAACAAAAAAUGCUGUAGGUGCCAACAGGAAGAAUUAGUUCAGAACAGAAAAUAAUUUCCACAUCAUCCAUCUGAGGAGAAGGGGCCACAUCUGAAUGUUUGAACUGUGUGUAAACACUACAGCUAUGGCUGGAGAAGUAUGUUGAUAAAUCGCAUCUAUCCUGAGCAGGCCUGAGUGGUCUUUAGGCAGAGCAGGGCUGUUCAGUGGGACAGGAGAAUCAAUAUGGACUUUGUAAGUAGAAAGACUGCACAUAAGCAAGAUGAUUUACUUGCACAAAAUGCUAUUGUUUUAAAUGAAGCUCUGAACUCAGUAUUUUGAUAUCCAUAAAGAAUAAAACAGAAGUAAUUUUACCACCA